GGGUACAAGGUGGAGUUGUACAACGGAUACAGUUUUUGCAGAGCAUAAGGAGGUGGAUAUGGAGAGUGACUCUUCUCUCCUCCUCUGUCUAGGCCACGCUGGACAAAUAAGCUACCCGGAUCACACUGACACAGCUUUCAAAUCCUUUUGCUUAUUUCCCGAAAUUAAGGGAAAGUACACGCAUAGUUUGCAGACGAAAGAUAAGCAAAUGUCCAUUGCCCAAUACUAGCCAUCCUUUGUUCUGUCAUGCUAUGAUAAAUUUAUGGCAAACACACAAUGAGGCAAGGGAUAGAGACAACAGUUCAGAUGAUUCAAUUAUUGAAGUGGGCCUUACCAAAAAACAUGUUACAGGUCAUAACACCUCUUCAACCAAGAAACAAGUCUUGUUAAUGAGUCCGUGAGGUCAUGUGCUACGGUACUUAACAUCUCUUCAGCCCAAGAAACAAGCCCUUCUUCUAAGCCAAUGAGACCCAAGAACUCAGACCAGCUUUACAACAAGCACCAACCAUCUUUCUCUGAUUUCGUACAUUCAUACAUGACCUUCCAGACCCAUAAGAAGUAGAGGCGAUGGAAUUGGGGAAACAAAAAAAAAACUCAAAAGAACUAAGAGACUUGUCCCAAAUAUUCCUAUAAUAAAAGGAAGAAAGUGAAGAAAGAUAGAUGUGUUUUGGCUUAUGAUGGCAUAUCAGCUGAAGAUCUUGAGUUACCUGUAACAAAUAUAUCUGAUCUUCAAAAGGAUACAUCUCUGAAAGACACCAGCUUAUCCCCUGUUACUAGGUCAGCCGCAGACGAAAGAGAAGAAAGGAAUCCUAAUCAUGCCUCAACGGAAGAAGAGGUUAGGGGUACAGAGGUUGUUUACCAGCCUCGUUGAAUACUCAGUGCAGUCAGCAGGGCUCUUUAGAUGCGAAAAGGAAAAACAAGGCUGCUAGAAGCAAAACAAGGAAACUGAAAAUGUUGACAGCAAGUGGCAGGGUAGCUAAUACAACCGAAGAAAGUGUUUCCGUAGACUCCCUCAAUUUGGGAAUCCAGCAAGGGAAUGUUCAGUAUCAGAUAAUUUGCAAUAAUAAUCAAGCUGACGGUUUUGAUAAAGAAAAGGAGUUUCAGGAAAUGAUACAAGAUGCAGUUACUCUGGGUCUGGGGAAUCCUCGGGAUCUCACAGCGUAUGAAGAUGGAAUCUGGAGCAAUAUUGCCAGAGAAGUGGAUGAAUGGACAUCGAUCAACCAACUGUGGCUUGGCAUAAGAUCAUCAAGUGUAAAUCUUUUGGUGGUCUUGACUUGGGAUAUUUGCACCAUAAAAACUUGGCUUUGCUCUUUAAAUGGUUCUGAAGUCUAGACAAAUGAGUGGUAGGAGGCUGGCAAGACUUUAUCCUUCAAAAAUAUCAGCCAAAUUUUGCAAAUGGACUUCCUGUGUUUGUCGGUUCUCUUUCCUAAACUUGGCGUGACAUGGUGUCGACUAUCUCCACAAAUGAAAGCAUAGUCAUUCCUCUCAAGUCUAACAUUAGGUUCAAGGUGGGUGAUGGCAGGAACAUUUGGUUUUGGACCAAUUCUUGGCUAGGUACUGCAACCCCUCUUCAAAUCUUAUUUCCUAGACUAUAUAAUCUCUCUCUGCAGCAAUCAAUAAGCCUUGCAGAUGUGUACUGCCUGGCUGAUAAUUCAGUCAACCUGUUUUAGAAGAGAAGUUUUCGGUCACGUGAGCUUUGUAUGUGGGAAAGCUUAUUUACAGAGGUGGAGCGUGGUCUAGUCUUCUCUGAAGGUGAAGCUUCACAUAAAGGGGCCAAAUCAUAAUCUACAGGAAUGGCUCAAAUCAGUCAGAGGCGAUGCGACUGGGACCCGACCCGUGACCGGAUAAGGACUUCCCAUGGAAGGAGCGAGUAGGUGAUUUCCACCCCCUUCUAAGCAUAACAUUAGUUUUUAAAGUGAAUAUAUUACGAAUGAUCUAUUGUUGUGCUAUAUGGAAUGCUAAACUGUCACGAAUGGUGUAUGAGCAUUACAAAGAAUCUACCAUUGUAUUAUACUGAAUGUUAAUUAUCACAAAUGGUUGUAUAAGUAUUACAAAGGAUCUACCGUUGUAUUAUACUGAAUGUUAAUUGUUACGAAUAGUUAUAUGAGUAUUGCGAAUGAUCUAUUAUUGUGCA